rnacentral:rRNA from 1 species
GUGGGGAAUAUUGGACAAUGGGCGAAAGCCUGAUCCAGCCAUGCCGCGUGUGUGAAGAAGGCCUUCGGGUUGUAAACUGCUUUUGUACGGAACGAAACGGUCCGGGUUAAUACCCUGGGCUAAUGACGGUACCGUAAGAAUAAGCACCGGCUAACUACGUGCCAGCAGCCGCGGUAAUACGUAGGGUGCAAGCGUUAAUCGGAAUUACUGGGCGUAAAGCGUGCGCAGGCGGUUUUGUAAGACAGGCGUGAAAUCCCCGGGCUCAACCUGGGAAGUGCAUUCGUGACUGCAAGGCUAGAGUGUGUCAGAGGGAGGUGGAAUUCCGCGUGUAGCAGUGAAAUGCGUAGAGAUGCGGAGGAACACCGAUGGCGAAGGCAGCCUCCUGGGAUAACACUGACGCUCAGGCACGAAAGCGUGGGGAGCAAACAGGAUUAGAAACCCUAGUAGUCC